AGUCGAGCGGUAGAGAGAAGCUUGCUUCUCUUGAGAGCGGCGGACGGGUGAGUAAUGCCUAGGAAUCUGCCUGGUAGUGGGGGAUAACGUUCGGAAACGGACGCUAAUACCGCAUACGUCCUACGGGAGAAAGCAGGGGACCUUCGGGCCUUGCGCUAUCAGAUGAGCCUAGGUCGGAUUAGCUAGUUGGUGGGGUAAUGGCUCACCAAGGCGACGAUCCGUAACUGGUCUGAGAGGAUGAUCAGUCACACUGGAACUGAGACACGGUCCAGACUCCUACGGGAGGCAGCAGUGGGGAAUAUUGGACAAUGGGCGAAAGCCUGAUCCAGCCAUGCCGCGUGUGUGAAGAAGGUCUUCGGAUUGUAAAGCACUUUAAGUUGGGAGGAAGGGUUGUAGAUUAAUACUCUGCAAUUUUGACGUUACCGACAGAAUAAGCACCGGCUAACUCUGUGCCAGCAGCCGCGGUAAUACAGAGGGUGCAAGCGUUAAUCGGAAUUACUGGGCGUAAAGCGCGCGUAGGUGGUUAGUUAAGUUGGAUGUGAAAUCCCCGGGCUCAACCUGGGAACUGCAUUCAAAACUGACUGACUAGAGUAUGGUAGAGGGUGGUGGA
rnacentral:rRNA from 1 species